GCGUGGUUUGCCACCACUUCCUGCUUCAACCGUGAUGUGCACAGACUGCAUGGUUGGAAAGCAGCAUCGUGAUCCCAUCCCAAAGAAGAGUACAUGGAGAGCAUCACAGAGAUUACAACUCAUCCAUGCAGAUAUAUGUGGCCCAAUCACUCCUACUUCCAACAGCAAAAAAAGGUACUCCUUAUGCUUCAUUGAUGACUACAGUAGGAAAGCAUGGGUCUACUUUCUAACAGAGAAGUCAGAAGCUUUCAAUUCCUUUAAAUGUUUUAAGAAUCUUGUUGAGAAAGAAACUGGUUUGUUUAUCAAAUGCUUGCGCACUGAUUGAGGAGGAGAAUUCAACUCAGAAGAAUUUAAUAACUUCUGUAAGCAGAAUGGAAUCAAGAGACAAUUAACCGUAGCCUACACUCCUCAACAAAAUGGAGUGGCCGAGAGGAAGAAUAGGACUGUGAUGAGUAUGGUCCGGUCCAUGCUUUCAGAAAAGAAGAUUCCCAAAACCUUCUGGCCUAAAGCAAUGAACUGGACUGUAUAUGUGUUGAAUAGGUGUCCAACCCUGGUUGUCAAAAAUGUAACUCCAGAAGAGGCUUGGAGUGGAAUGAAUCCCUUAGUUGUGCACUUUAGGGUAUUUGGUUGUGUGGCACAUGUCCAUGUGCCAAAUGCAAGAAGAACCAAGUUGGAGAAUAAAAGUUUCAGUUGUGUGUUACUAGGAGUCAGUGAAGAGUCCAAGGCCUACAGACUUUAUAACCCUCUCACUAAAAGGGUUGUAAUAAGUAGGGAUGUGAUCUUUGAGGAGGAGAAACAAUGGGAUUGUGAUGCAAGUUAUGAGGAACAACUACUGAUGGACUUGGAAUGGGGUGAUGAUGAGAGUAGUAUAGAUAUGGAUGAUGUAAAUGAAUUUGACAGUGAAGGUGGUGAUGAAGUUGAAGGAACAGGAAGUGCUUCUCCAAAUUCUAUAAAUGAAGUUGAUGGAGUAGGAAAUUCUUCUCCAAAUUCUGCAAAUGAAGAAGAUAUUAAUACAAGUGAAGGAAGAGUUAGGCAACCUCCUAUUUGGAUGAGAGAAUAUUUUAGUGGAGAAGGGCUGUCAGAAGAAGAAAAUGAGGUCAACAUGGCAUUAGUUGUAUCUUCAGAUCCUUUGUGCUUUGAGGAGGCAGUGAAGAGCUCAAAAUGGCGGAUGGCUAUGGACAUUGAAAUCAAGUCAAUUGAGAAGAAUCAAACUUGGAAGUUAACUGAGUUACCAACUGGAGCUAAAAAGAUAGGAGUCAAAUGGAUCUACAAAACUAAACUCAAUGAGCUUGGAGAGGUGGAUAAGUAUAAAGCUCGUCUGGUGGCCAAAGGGUAUUCUCAACAGCAUGGAGUGGAUUACACAGAGGUGUUUGCUCCAGUGGCAAGAAUGGAUACUGUUAGGAUGAUAAUAGCCCUUGCAGCACAGAGAAGUUGGAGGAUAUAUCAGCUAGAUGUGAAGUCUGCCUUUCUUCAUGGUGAACUGAAUGAAGAUGUCUAUGUGGAGCAGCCAAAAGGAUAUGAGAAGAAAGGCAGUGAGCACAAAGUCUACAAGUUGCAGAAGGCUUUAUAUGGACUAAAACAAGCCCCACGAGCUUGGUUUAGUCGUAUUGAAGCUCAUUUUAUCAGUGAAGGCUUUCAAAGGUGCUACAGUGAGCAAACAUUAUUCAUCAAAUGGAACAAAGAAGGUAAAAUCUUAAUUGUUAGUGUUUAUGUGGAUGACCUUAUUUUUACUGUUGAUGAUGAGCUUAUGAUGUCGGAAUUUAAAAAUUCAAUGAUGAGGGAAUUUGAUAUGACUGACUUGGGGAGGAUGAGAUUUUUUCUUGGUAUUGAAGUUUUGCAAAAAUCUGAUGGCAUUUACAUUAGUCAAAGAAAGUACGCCAUGGAGGUUUUGAAACGUUUUAGUAUGGAGGAAAGUAAUUCAGUGAGCAGUCCUAUUGUUCCGGGGUUUAAAAUAUGCAAGGAUGAAGAUGGAAUCAAGGUUGAUGAGACAUAUUACAAACAGAUAGUAGGGAGUCUCAUGUAUCUCACUGCCACUCGACCAGAUUUGAUGUUUGUUGUAAGUCUUAUAAGUCGAUACAUGGCAAAACCAACACAGCUACACCUACAAGUUGCCAAGAGAGCACUCAGGUAUUUAAAAGGCACUAUCAACUAUGGGAUUUUAUACAAGAAGAGAGGGGAUGAAGAAUUAAUAGCAUUCACGGACAGCGACUAUGCUGGUGAUUUGGAGGACAGGAAAAGUACUUCUGGUUAUGUGUCCUUAAUGAGUGGUGGUACAGUCUCAUGGUCCUCAAGGAAGCAGCCUAUAGUUACUCUCUCAACUACAGAAGCUGAGUUCGUGGCAGCGGCAGCCAGUACUUGUCAGGCAGUUUGGAUAAGGAGAAUUCUAAAGAAGUUAGGUUACUCACAAGAAGGUUGCACCACUGUGAUGUGUGAUAAUAGCUCAACUAUUAAGCUGUCUAAAAAUCCAGUUAUGCAUGGCCGAAGUAAGCACAUUGAUGUGCGUUUCCACUUCUUGCGAGAUCUUACUAAGGAUGGAGUUGUUGAACUUGUUCACUGCGGGACUCAAGAUCAAGUGGCAGACUUGAUGACUAAGCCACUGAAACUGGAUGCAUUUCAGAAGCUCCUAAAACAGCUAGGGGUGUGUGAAGUCUCUAAUAUAAACUAAUUACUUGAUAAUAGUUAGUUUAAGGGAGGGAAUGGCAAGUAUUAGUCUCUGUUUAAAUAAAUCCCUAUUAAGUAGGGUGAUUCGUUUUUGUUUUUGAUUCUUUCUUUCUCCAUGUUACCAUGUCUCUGUUAGAGUAAAUCAUGGGCCAUAAUUUCCG
rnacentral:lncRNA from 1 species